GCUACGGGAGGCUGCAGUGGGGAAUAUUGCACAAUGGGGGAAACCCUGAUGCAGCGACGCCGCGUGAGUGAAGAAGUAAUUCGUUACGUAAAGCUCUAUCAGCAGGGAAGAAAAUGACGGUACCUGAGUAAGAAGCCCCGGCUAACUACGUGCCAGCAGCCGCGGUAAUACGUAGGGGGCAAGCGUUAUCCGGAUUUACUGGGUGUAAAGGGAGCGUAGACGGCCAGACAAGUCAGAAGUGAAAGCCCAGGGCUCAACCCUGGGACUGCUUUUGAAACUGCCGGGCUGGAGUGCAGGAGAGGUAAGCGGAAUUCCUAGUGUAGCGGUGAAAUGCGUAGAUAUUAGGAGGAACACCAGUGGCGAAGGCGGCUUACUGGACUGUAACUGACGUUGAGGCUCGAAAGCGUGGGGAGCAAACAGGAUUAGAUACCCCGGUAGUC
rnacentral:rRNA from 1 species